UGGGGAAUAUUGCACAAUGGGCGCAAGCCUGAUGCAGCCAUGCCGCGUGUGUGAAGAAGGCCUUCGGGUUGUAAAGCACUUUCAGCGAGGAGGAAGGGUAGUGUGUUAAUAGCACAUUGCAUUGACGUUACUCGCAGAAGAAGCACCGGCUAACUCCGUGCCAGCAGCCGCGGUAAUACGGAGGAUGCAAGCGUUAAUCGGAAUUACUGGGCGUAAAGCGCACGCAGGCGGUUUGUUAAGUCAGAUGUGAAAUCCCCGCGCUUAACGUGGGAACUGCAUUUGAAACUGGCAAGCUAGAGUCUUGUAGAGGGGGGUAGAAUUCCAGGUGUAGCGGUGAAAUGCGUAGAGAUCUGGAGGAAUACCGGUGGCGAAGGCGGCCCCCUGGACAAAGACUGACGCUCAGGUGCGAAAGCGUGGGGAGCAAACA
rnacentral:rRNA from 1 species